AUCACUUCUCAGCAUUUUGGGUAACGUCAAGUGUAGUAUCUGUUCUCAUCAGUUUAAUAUCUGAUAAAUCCUUUAUGUAAGGACCUAAUAUUAAACAGAUUUUUGGAAUCAGGAGAUGGAAUAGGAACUCAUGCCAUCUGGUCCAUGUAUGGUCCAAAAGAAUUUUUUAAAACAUAAAGAAUCA
rfam:Otolemur garnettii contig004863, whole genome shotgun sequence.